rnacentral:rRNA from 1 species
UACGGAGGGGGCUAGCGUUGUUCGGAAUUACUGGGCGUAAAGCGCACGUAGGCGGGACGGAAAGUCAGAGGUGAAAUCCCGGGGCUCAACCCCGGAACGGCCUUUGAAACUUCCGUUCUUGAGGUCUGGAGAGGUGAGUGGAAUUCCGAGUGUAGAGGUGAAAUUCGUAGAUAUUCGGAGGAACACCAGUGGCGAAGGCGGCUCACUGGCCAGAUACUGACGCUGAGGUGCGAAAGCGUGGGGAGCAAACAGG